UAGGGAAUCUUCGGCAAUGGACGAAAGUCUGACCGAGCAACGCCGCGUGAGUGAAGAAGGUUUUCGGAUCGUAAAACUCUGUUGUUAGAGAAGAACAAGGACGUUAGUAACUGAACGUCCCCUGACGGUAUCUAACCAGAAAGCCACGGCUAACUACGUGCCAGCAGCCGCGGUAAUACGUAGGUGGCAAGCGUUGUCCGGAUUUAUUGGGCGUAAAGCGAGCGCAGGCGGUUUCUUAAGUAUGAUGUGAAAGCCCCCGGCUCAACCGGGGAGGGUCAUUGGAAACUGGGAGACUUGAGUGCAGAAGAGGAGAGUGGAAUUCCAUGUGUAGCGGUGAAAUGCGUAGAUAUAUGGAGGAACACCAGUGGCGAAGGCGGCUCUCUGGUCUGUAACUGACGCUGAGGCUCGAAAGCGUGGGGAGCAAACAGG
rnacentral:rRNA from 1 species